rnacentral:tRNA from 1 species
AUUUAUAUAGUUUAAUAAAAACCCUACAUUUUCAGUGUAGAUUUAGCCAAGGCUUAUAAAUA